rnacentral:misc_RNA from 1 species
UUUCCGUAGGUGAACCUGCGGAAGGAUCAUUAAAGUUAUAGUCCCCCGGCCCCUCCGGGCUGGGGUCUUCUAUACCACCCUUUGUUUAUUACACCUUUGUUGCUUUGGCAGGCCUGCCCUCGGGCUGCUGGCUCCGGCCGGCUCGUGCCUGCCAGAGGACCUAAACUCUGUUUGUAUAUGAAGUCUGAGUACUAUAUAAUAGUUAAAACUCUCAACAACGGAUCUCUUGGUUCUG